AUGACCCUGUGCCUUCUCGGCUGACUCUGUAUGGCUACAAGUGUUUUUGUUGUGUUGCGUCUCUCUCUCCCCUCCCGUGCACUGCGCUCUACUGGGGCGGAGUCAUGACGGCUCCAGCCCCUGGCUCGGACACCUGCAAGCAAUCAUCUCAUCACCACGCUCACUUCUUAAGGUGGCUGCUGAGAGUGCUUCUUCGCUGGAUUAUUGUGUAACACUCAUUUCUCGCCAGUCUGAGGACCGCCGUUUGGUGAGCUAAAAGCCGGAGUCCGAGCUAACCUGAGCUUCAGUGAAGGAUUGUGUACAUAGCCCGUUCCCUUCCCGUGCCUGUGUUCCCCGGAGACCCUCUUCCUGUGCCCCCUCACCUGUAUAUAUCCGCACUUGGUGUCUGUGUGUAAAUAAAUUGUGAACUUU